AACGAACGCUGGCGGCAUGCCUAACACAUGCAAGUCGAACGAAGCCUUCGGGCUUAGUGGCGCACGGGUGCGUAACGCGUGGGAAUCUGCCCUUUGGUUCGGAAUAACAGUUGGAAACGACUGCUAAUACCGGAUGAUGACGAAAGUCCAAAGAUUUAUCGCCAGAGGAUGAGCCCGCGUAGGAUUAGCUAGUUGGUGUGGUAAAGGCGCACCAAGGCGGCGAUCCUUAGCUGGUCUGAGAGGAAGAUCAGCCACACUGGGACUGAGACACGGCCCAGACUCCUACGGGAGGCAGCAGUGGGGAAUAUUGGACAAUGGGCGAAAGCCUGAUCCAGCAAUGCCGCGUGAGUGAUGAAGGCCCUAGGGUUGUAAAGCUCUUUUACCCGGGAUGAUAAUGACAGUACCGGGAGAAUAAGCCCCGGCUAACUCCGUGCCAGCAGCCGCCGUAA
rnacentral:rRNA from 1 species